rnacentral:lncRNA from 1 species
AGGUAGACACUGAAUUCAUAGAGCAGACAAAGAAAGCAUGGGAGGUUAGCUCUGAGUUCCAAGAAUAAAGUAAAGCCAAGUGCCUUCAUGAAGCCCCCAUAAUGUUUGUAAUAAAGCUCACCACUGGGCUUUCUGGCCUCAGUUUCUUCAUCUGCAGAAUCCAUGGGCUAGCCGUGAUUAUACUUAAGGCUAAUACUUUACCCUGAAUAUUCAGGUUCUAGGUAUAUGCUUCAUUAAAACUAUCUAGGGCCUCAGAAGUUUAGAAUUCUGAUUUCGCAAAAUUCUGAUAAAAAAUAAAAUGUGUGAACAUGAGGGCAGCAAUCUUGGUAAUAAGGAAAAGCCUGGGGUAGGGCUGGAAACCUCGUAGGCACAGAGGCCCUCCAAGAGGUCCCUUCCCAUUGAUCGGGCCGGGCUAGGGCAGUCACAGCGUGCUGGUCUGGUGGAGUUUAUGCAGCAACACAAACAAGAAACGCAGCAGCAGGGACAGAAAAUCCCCAUGAAGUCUGCCUUCUGCAACUAACUCUCGGUCCACCCCUCUCCACAUCUUGGUCUUCCCUUCCCAACCCCAUUCACAUCCUUCCAGGGGAGAACGUGCAAGAAAUUUCUCCUUUCCUGCAAGCAAAGGAAUCCAGUAGUGCCACCUUGGUCAGAAUGGCCCUUUGUUCUGCUGUUUAAUGACUAAUUAUGAUGCUAUGAGAGGCAUACACAACUCUGGCAGAGCCAGGCCCUCCUGCUCCAGCAGGGCUGAGCGGCUGGAAGUGUGUAAUCUUCGGAAAGCUGUGACUGCGACCUGGAGUUGCGUAAGAAAUAAUUACAGAAUCCAGCCAGGGCUUGCUUCUUGCCACAGGCUCCAGGCUUUUACCCCCGACAUGUGUUCUGGUGAAUGGAGUGAGAUGAGGACUGGGUUUGAGAAGAUUUUGUUGGCUCCACAUGGUUUUGCAAAUCAACCUGCUGCUCCAGUGAUGACAUGCUGCUGAGGGAAGGUUUGGUGGUUCCUGGGAAGUUGAAAGGAUCUGGGCAAGCUUUUUAUUGCUGACUGUGUGCAACUGCCGCAAGGGGUCAAAAGUGCUUGGUUUGCACAACAUCUCCCCGGCAUUCUUACACGUGUGGUUAUGGAAUCAGGGUGCAGGGAAGGGUCAUGGAGCAGAGGGAAUUGCAUGUGCUCGAUCUUUUUCACAUUGGAGCUGCUUUCUGAAACCCGGCACGGGGAAGGUGAGGGUGCUGGAUAGUUUGGGGGGGCCACAGAGUCCUGUGGGUGUUAAAUCUCGGUCCCCCUCUGGGGACUUGUCCUUGCAGGGUGCUCAUCCAGGCCUUAAAAGUUGGCAGCAUCCCCCAGGAACUACCCUGUGAACAAAUCCAGGCUUUCGGAAGCACGUGAUUCUGCAGAAAUGCCACAUUCUCUUCCACAUGGGCUGUGGGCUCUGAGUCCCCCUUUGCUUCCUCGGCCUAUGUACCUGCUGAAGAAGACAGUUGUGUCGUGUACAUGCAACCUAAGGAGGUAACCUUUUACCCAGCCUGAGACUUCAGAGGGUAUUCAUAUUGGGGACCAGCAGCCCGUGAUGUUUGUCCCCCAGAGAGGGGGAGAGAGCUGCUGCCUGCAGAGUGGCUGCUCCUGCUUUGCACGGCCCCUGGCUUCUGCAUCCCUCCAUCCUCCAGCUGGGCACAGAGGUUGCCAAAAGGGCCAGUAGGAGGAGAAGGCUUCAUGGAGGACGGGGGCAAGAGCGGGCCGACCAUGCUGGCUUCCUCGCCUUGUGUCUGGCUGACUGCACAGGCCUGAGGAGGUAACCAACAGCAGAAACAGCUCUGGACAAAUGAGCAAAGGAAGACUCGACUGAGUUUCCCCAGAAUGGAGAGGAGCUGAGGAAGCUCCAGGGCCCACAGCGGAAGCUGGUGGACCAUUUCACUAGGACCCUGGGAGCAAAUCAGUCUGACUUGUGUUUGGCCCCUGAAUCCCCCUGCUCAAGGCUCAGAGUCCUGGAGAAUUGAGGGCAACCCCCACAUUGCAUGCCAUGGAUGGUGGCUUCCCCAGGGGAGUCGGGGUGCUAGGACUAGAGCAUGCCUCCUACAAAUGUUGACUUCCCCAGAAAAAUACCAGCUCUCUUAAGUAAGGGUGGGUCUAUCUGUGGGGAUGAUAGGGUCACCCUUAUUAUUCAUACGUUCCCUGGGCCUGAGAACUUACCUGGAAUACACUUUGUUAAAUAGUAAUA